rnacentral:rRNA from 1 species
AUUGAACGCUGGCGGCAUGCCUUACACAUGCAAGUCGAACGGUAACGGGCCUUCGGGUGCCGACGAGUGGCGAACGGGUGAGUAAUGUAUCGGAACGUACCUUUCAGUGGGGGAUAACGUAGCGAAAGUUACGCUAAUACCGCAUAUUCGGUGAGCAGGAAAGCAGGGGAUCGCAAGACCUUGCGCUGAUUGAGCGGCAGAUAUCAGAUUAGCUAGUUGGUGAGGUAAAGGCUCACCAAGGCGACGAUCUGUAGCGGGUCUGAGAGGAUGAUCCGCCACACUGGAACUGAGACACGGUCCAGACUCCUACGGGAGGCAGCAGUGGGGAAUUUUGGACAAUGGGGGCAACCCUGAUCCAGCCAUGCCGCGUGAGUGAAGAAGGCCUUCGGGUUGUAAAGCUCUUUCGGCCGGGAAGAAAUCGUAUCAGCUAAUACCUGGUGCGGAUGACGGUACCGGCAUAAGAAGCACCGGCUAACUACGUGCCAGCCGCCGCCGUAAGAC